CCUUUUUCGGAAGGUAUGCUUAAAGAGGGGCUUGCGUCACAUUAGUUAGUUGGUAGGGUAAAGGCCUACCAAGACGAUGAUGUGUAGCUGGACUGAGAGGUUGAACAGCCACAUUGGGACUGAGACACGGCCCAAACUCCUACGGGAGGCAGCAGUAGGGAAUUUUCGGCAAUGGAGGAAACUCUGACCGAGCAACGCCGCGUGAACGACGAAGUACUUCGGUAUGUAAAGUUCUUUUAUUGAAGAAGAAACAAUAGUGGAAAAACUAUCUUGACGUUAUUCAAUGAAUAAGCCCCGGCUAACUAUGUGCCAGCAGCCGCGGUAAUACAUAGGGGGCGAGCGUUAUCCGGAAUUAUUGGGCGUAAAGGGUGCGUAGGCGGUUUAAUAAGUCUCUAGUUUAAUUUCAACGCUUAACGUUGUCCUGCUAGAGAAACUGUUUAACUAGAGUGAGAUAGAGGUAAGCGGAAUUCCAUGUGUAGCGGUAAAAUGUGUAAAUAUAUGGAGGAACACCAGAGGCGUAGGCGGCUUACUGGGUCUUUACUGACGCUGAUGCACGAAAGCGUGGGGAGCAAACAGGAUUAGAUACCCUGGUAGUCCACGCCGUAAACUAUGAGUACUAAGUGUCGGGGUUAAACUCGGUACUGAAGUUAACACAUUAAGUACUCCGCCUGAGUAGUACGUACGCAAGUAUGAAACUUAAAGGAAUUGACGGGAUCCCGCACAAGCGGUGGAUCAUGUUGUUUAAUUCGAAGAUACACGAAAAACCUUACCAGGUCUUGACAUACUCUGCAAAGCUAUAGAAAUAUAGUGGAGGUUAUCAGGGAUACAGGUGGUGCAUGGUUGUCGUCAGCUCGUGUCGUGAGAUGUUAGGUUAAGUUCUAAAACGAGCGCAACCCCUGUCGUUAAUUGCCAGCACGUUAUGGUGGGGACUUUAGCGAGACUGCCAAUGAAAAAUUGGAGGAAGGUGGGGAUUACGUCAAAUCAUCAUGCCCCUUAUGAUCUGGGCUACAAACGUGAUACAAUGGCUAUUACAAAGAGUAGCUGAAACGCGAGUUUUUGGCAAAUCUCAAAAAAAUAGUCUCAGUUCGGAUUGAAGUCUGCAACUCGACUUCAUGAAGUUGGAAUCCCUAGUAAUCGCGAAUCCAACAUGUCCCGGGGAAUACGUUGACGGGGUUUGUACCCCCCGGCCCGUA
rnacentral:rRNA from 1 species